GAUCAGGGAGACAUCUCAAAUGUGCAGUGUUGGGGUUCUCCAGGACCAGGAUUGGGAGCCACUGCCUUAUGGGACACUUAUGUGUUUAAAGAGAUUUUUAAUAUCUAAUUAUCAAUAUUUCACAUACUGUACAUUGGACAGCUUUCCAUGACCUCUUGUGAGAUCUCGGCAAAAAGUCUGACGAUUUAUUCCAAAACAUGAUGCAUGAUGGGAUACACUAAGCUUUGUAAAGCGCUCCAGAGCAGUAUUGGAGAGGUUUAGUGUGUGUUAAGGACGCUGUGCUUUGGCAUUAUUAAGACCGGGGACAGUCUUGUGCACACACUGUCACGUACACACACUCUCAAGUGGCCAAGACUGCAAGUGUGGGUAUCUGGACAGGGUCAAAGUCUUAAAAAUGAUCCCUAAACACAUCACAGUCUUAAUAAUCCAGUUUAACACUUGUAUGAUAUUGUACAAGCCCCAGGACUGUCUCAUCUGACACUAUCAAAGAAUUCAUAUGACUAUAGCUUGUUAUUAAUUACUUGCUUUCAAUAAUGGAUUCAUUUAACAUUUAAUUAUACAGCAUCUUUACAGAGGUGUAAUGUACAAGCUGCACGUAAUUAAUAAUAUGUCCUUCCUUCUGUCUUACAGGAUUUUUUCCAGAUAAUGCUGUUCUUCUUUUUCAGGUCUAAAAUAUCGAGCUCAACAGCUAUUUUAAGAGCCAACCCUCACAAACCUUCCUAAAACCUAAAAGAGCUAUUACUGAGUCUCAGCGAAUCUUGCCAUGAUCAGCUCUUCCCAGAAGAGAAGGAAGACCAAGGAAAUGAUUUGCUCAGGAUGAGGAAUGAAGAUGGCCAUCUUGAGCUCAAACAAACAGAAGUCCUCUGAUGAUCUCAUCAGCCAAAUGAGGGGUUUUGACCAAGUGAUGCUCUUGAAAGGAGUGAAAGAAGAGGAUGUGGUAAAUUGUCUUCAGAGAAAAGCUUCUCAAAAGAUCUUAAAACAGCUUGAAGAAUGGUCUGGGAUGUUAGGACUGAGAGAUCAUCUGGCUGAGAACAAGCUACACCUCAUCAGUGCUGGACAUCAACCACAAACUGUUUCCAGACACGAGAGAAGAAGAUCACGAUGGGGAGAUGAAACCAGUUUAGAUGUGAUAAUAAGGAAUCAUUAUUUUCUGAAACAGUAUCACAUGUCUUAUAUGUAUCACAUGAUCUGUAUCACAGUUGACUGGAUGGGACUGUGACUUUUAAGGACAUUUCAUCACUCAUCUGUGUGAACUGAUUUAUAUAUGAGGUUAAUGUAUCUUUGAUGAUAAUUAUUUUCAUUGAAUCUUAUUUGUCUUGAUGCUACUUUAUCAACUUUAUAGUCUAUGCUUCAAUAAAAUGAAAAUGGUGAAUAUUGUGUUCUGAAGAUUCUUGGUAAAUACAUAAUUUUACUAGGUAGGCUCAUAUGUGUUUAUUUUAGACUUGGAAAAACGACAUAUUAAUUAUUGGGAUUAUUUUUUUAUUUAAGACAUGAACAUUUUUGAUCGGAUUAAUAACAUCUGGGACAUCAGUACACCAGAAAGUAAUUUUUUUAUAUUUUAGUAACAAAUAUGCAAAUUUUUUGUGAAAUACAGGGAGUUACAAGAUUAAUUAUUCUGCAUUACAAGA